UACGUAGGGGGCAAGCGUUGUCCGGAAUUAUUGGGCGUAAAGCGCGCGCAGGCGGUCAUUUAAGUCUGGUGUAUAAACCAAGGGCUCAACCUUUGGACGCAUUGGAAACUGGGUGACUGGAGUGUAGGAGAGGAAAGUGGAAUUCCACGUGUAGCGGUGAAAUGCGUAGAGAUGUGGAGGAACACCGAUGGCGAAGGCAGCCUUCUGGGCCAACACUGACGCUCAUGCACGAAAGCGUGGGGAGCAAACAGG
rnacentral:rRNA from 1 species